GUGCUUGCUUUGGCAGCACAUAUACUAGAAUUGGAACAAUGUGAGAUUAGCAUGGCCCCUGUGCAAGGAUUAUACGCAAAUUCGUGAAGCAUUCCAUAUUUUU
rfam:Pteropus alecto contig25364, whole genome shotgun sequence.